UACGUAGGGACCAAGCGUUGUUCGGAUUUACUGGGCGUAAAGCGCACGUAGGCGGGUUGUUAAGUCAGGGGUGAAAUCCUGGAGCUCAACUCCAGAACUGCCUUUGAUACUGGCAACCUAGAGGCUGGAAGAGGUUAGUGGAAUUCCCAGUGUAGAGGUGAAAUUCGUAGAUAUUGGGAAGAACACCAGUGGCGAAGGCGGCUAACUGGUCCAGAUCUGACGCUGAGGUGCGAAAGCGUGGGGAGCAAACAGGG
rnacentral:rRNA from 1 species